CCAUAGUAAGUAAGAAGCAAAAGAUGAUUCAUACACUCUUGCACUUGAUUGGCUCAACUAGACGGGUAAAACAAGUCAGAUAAGGUUUUAGACUAUAAAGCAAUGUCAAUGGCAGAGCAAGGGUCAAUGGGUGCCGGUCUUCUGAAGAAUUGGAACGCUUACAUUCUCCAUUAGGAUGGCAGAAGCAGGUGAGGUUUUGGAAAGAGAUCUGUUUCUCUUACAAUACAAAAAUGUGUGCAUGGCAACGGAACUGCAAAAGGCAACCUACCUGUGCUUUAAAGCAAAUGGCGGUUGGACUAAAUCUGGAUGGUUUUGCAAUCAACCGCGUAUAAAACACGCAGAGAUUCGAUUUCUGGAGAACCUGGAAACCUUGGAUCGUAAUCUCAAAUACACGGUCACUUGUUACUUGUCCUGGUCUCCCUGUGCAGACUGCUCCGAGGCAUUAGUCAACUUCCUGUCCAACAAUCCAAACGUAAAUCUUCGUAUCUUUGUGUCGCGCCUCUACCGCAUUGACGAGAGGAGAAAUUGCGAGGGCCUGAAGCUGCUGAAUGAUGCCGGAGUGCAUCUCAAAGUCAUGAAUAAUGAACACUUUGAAUACUGCUGGAAAACCUUUGUUGAUCAUAAACAAAGCCCUUUCCCACUUUGGGACGACAUUGUUGAAAACCACGCUUAUUAUGAAGAAGAGCUCACCGAUAUUCUCCAGCAGGAACGUGGGACCAUAAACUGAUGCAGUCAGAGAAACUGAAAGAUGACUACAUCUCACUCAUAUCCACCGUCCAAGACUCAAAGAAGCGUGCCAUCGUGCCACCUGCAAAAAUAAAAUCAGGGGUGGGCAAACUUUUUGACUCGCGGGCCGGACUGGGUUCUAAAUUUGGACCGGAGGGCCGAACCAGGAGCAGAUGGACGUAGUGUUUGUGUGAAGUAAUAUAAGCGACCUGUAAAGGUCAUUGCAUAAAAGAUUUUGGCCUUUAGUAGGUAGUAAAGCAUGGAUAUUCCAAACAAGUUUUUUGAAAACAAAUGCAUUUAUUAACAGCAUUAAAAAAAAUUCACUAAAAAACUGCUAUCGGUGAUUCUCAUAAAAUACGACACUGUUAUUAUGAAUAACAGUCUCCAUCACUUCAGUGCCUGCAGGUCAGAUUAAUGAAAGAUGUUUAUCUUAUGAGAUCACAUCAAACGGCAAACAUUCUGACCAAAUAUAUCAUCUUGAAGAAUCGGUGAAAGCAUACAUCCAAAUAAAGUAAUCAAAACUGCAACACGGUGAGGGGUAUCUGAAAAUCAGAGCAGAGUUUUAACUCACAAACAUCUGGUAACAGAGGUGAGGAUGUCGCGAACGUCGAGCCAAAUUGGUCAGUCUUUUUUUAACAUUCGGCACUCACUUCUUUUCUUCGGGCCACUAAUUUUAAUGGAAGGAUUCCAGGGGAAGGUUUGUGGGUGACUUUAGCGUAAAACGGUAUCUGAAAGCUCAGCGCGCGAAUUGCAAGAAUGCCGUCGUCACAGCCCACGCUCUAAAUUUGGGGCUGAUACAAAUAGAGCGCGAGUGCGCCAUAUCCGUACUGCUGAGUACGUACACGCACUUGUGAGUGUGCACCGAGCUUUCCGACACGGCUUCCGGUAGUAAAUUCGCAGGCGAGCGCUUCCCCAUCUACUGGGGAAACGCAGUCAUUGCAGGCAAUAUGACCAAAAAAACGUUAUAAUAAUACAAUUUAUUCAGGGUUGGCGGGCCGGAUUAAACGGUCCCGUGGGCCGGAUGUGGCCCGCGGGCCGUAGUUUGCCCACCCCUGCCCUAGAUAGUAUCGUUUGUUGAAGAGAAAAUACCGGCACACAUAUGCACAUGGUUAAAGAGAAACGAAAGUAAGAACAAGCCGAAGAUGAUUCAUACACUCUUGCACUUGAUUGGCUCAACUGGACAAAUCAAACAAGUCGGAUAAGGUUUCAGAUUAUAAAAGAACAUUCUUGACAGACCAAGGGUCAAUGGGUCCCGGUCUUCUGAAGAAUUGGAAAGCUUAUAUUCUUCACUAGGAUGGCAGAACCAGGGUAAGUCCGGACGUGUGUGCGUUGCUUGCCAAAUUUGAUAAAGGCUGCAUUACAUUAAAAAACAAUUUCCCAA